rnacentral:rRNA from 1 species
CCUAGCGGUACUCCGAAUGCAUCCAGAUUAUUUGANUGAUCAUGGCUCAGAGUGAACGCUGGCGGUAGGCCUAACACAUGCAAGUCGAACGGCAGCACAGGAGAGCUUGCUCUCUGGGUGGCGAGUGGCGGACGGGUGAGGAAUACAUCGGAAUCUACUCUGUCGUGGGGGAUAACGUAGGGAAACUUACGCUAAUACCGCAUACGACCUACGGGUGAAAGCAGGGGAUCUUCGGACCUUGCGCGAUUGAAUGAGCCGAUGUCGGAUUAGCUAGUUGGCGGGGUAAAGGCCCACCAAGGCGACGAUCCGUAGCUAGGUCUGAAGAGGGAUUGAUUC